ensembl:miRNA tni-mir-458 tni-mir-458
GUGCAGACGGCAGCGCCAUUUUCAGAGCUAUCAGUGCCAGCGGGUCAUAGCUCUUUAAAUGGUUCUGCUGUAGGCAC